CCUACGGGGGGCAGCAGUGAGGAAUAUUGGUCAAUGGACGGAAGUCUGAACCAGCCAUGCCGCGUGCAGGAAGACGGCUCUAUGAGUUGUAAACUGUUUUUGUACAAGGGUAAACCUGAAUACGUGUAUUCAGCUGAACGUACUGUACGAAUAAGGAUGGGCUAACUCCGCGCCAGCAGCCGCGGUAAUACGGAGGAUCCAAGCGUUAUCCGGAUUUAUUGGGUUUAAAGGGUGCGUAGGCGGAUUGAUAAGUUAGAGGUGAAAUGUCCGAGCUUAACUCGGGAACUGCCUCUAAUACUGUUGAUCUAGAGAGUAGAUGCGGUAGGCGGAAUGUAUGGUGUAGCGGUGAAAUGCUUAGAGAUCA
rnacentral:rRNA from 1 species